rnacentral:rRNA from 1 species
CAGUCGCCGCGGUAAUGCGAAGGGUGCAAGCGUUAAUCGGAAUUACUGGGCGUAAAGCGUGCGUAGGCGGUGAGUUAAGUCUGCUGUGAAAUCCCCGGGCUCAACCUGGGAAUGGCAGUGGAUACUGGCUCGCUAGAGUGUGUCAGAGGAUGGUGGAAUUCCCGGUGUAGCGGUGAAAUGCGUAGAGAUCGGGAGGAGCAUCAGUGGCGAAGGCGGCCAUCUGGGACAACACUGACGCUGAGGCACGAAAACGUGGGGAGCAAACAGGAUUAGAUACCCCAGUAGUCCCUGUCUCUUAUAC